CCUACGGGUGGCAGCAGUGGGGAAUAUUGGACAAUGGGGGGAACCCUGAUCCAGCCAUGCCGCGUGUGUGAAGAAGGCCCUCGGGUUGUAAAGCACUUUCAGUGAGGAAGAACGCCUGGUGGUUAAUACCCAUCAGGAAAGACAUCACUCACAGAAGAAGCAUCGGCUAACUCCGUGCCAGCAGCCGCGGUAAUACGGAGGGUGCGAGCGUUAAUCGGAAUUACUGGGCGUAAAGCGCGCGUAGGUGGCUUGAUAAGCCGGUUGUGAAAGCCCCGGGCUCAACCUGGGAACGGCAUCCGGAACUGUCAAGCUAGAGUGCAGGAGAGGAAGGUAGAAUUCCCGGUGUAGCGGUGAAAUGCGUAGAGAUCGGGAGGAAUACCAGUGGCGAAGGCGGCCUUCUGGACUGACACUGACACUGAGGUGCGAAAGCGUGGGUAGCAAACAGGAUUAGAUACCCUGGUAGUC
rnacentral:rRNA from 1 species